GGGUCAGUAGGUUGGUCGUGCCACCGGUACGUACUGGUCUCACUGAUUCCUCCUUCCUGAAGAACCGUAAUGCCAUUAAUUUGGUCUUGCGGGUAAACAGGACUGUUACUUUGAAAAAAUUAGAGUGUUUAAAGCAAGCUAACGCUUGAAUACAUUAGCAUGGAAUAAUGAAAUAGGACGAUGGAUCCUAUUUUGUUGGUUUCUAGGAUUGACGUA
rnacentral:rRNA from 1 species